AUCCAGCUGAUGAGUCCCAAAUAGGACGAAACGCGCGUCAACCUGGAU
rnacentral:hammerhead_ribozyme from 1 species